rnacentral:rRNA from 1 species
GAUGAACGCUGGCGGCGUGCUUAACACAUGCAAGUCGAACGGGAUCCAUCAAGCUUGCUUGGUGGUGAGAGUGGCGAACGGGUGAGUAAUGCGUGACCGACCUGCCCCAUACACCGGAAUAGCUCCUGGAAACGGGUGGUAAUGCCGGAUGCUCCGACUCCUCGCAUGGGGUGUCGGGAAAGAUUCAUCGGUAUGGGAUGGGGUCGCGUCCUAUCAGGUAGUCGGCGGGGUAACGGCCCACCGAGCCUACGACGGGUAGCCGGCCUGAGAGGGCGACCGGCCACAUUGGGACUGAGAUACGGCCCAGACUCCUACGGGAGGCAGCAGUGGGGAAUAUUGCACAAUGGGCGCAAGCCUGAUGCAGCGACGCCGCGUGCGGGAUGACGGCCUUCGGGUUGUAAACCGCUUUUGAUCGGGAGCAAGCCUUCGGGUGAG